rnacentral:lncRNA from 1 species
CCAGGGAAGUCUCAAUCAACCUUUACACAAACACUUUCGGCUAUAGAUCUUGUGUUAAAAAAAGAAAAUAAAAAUGAAGUCUUUUCUCGGCGGUCAGCUCGUUCGACACGGUUAUGUCAAUUCGUAGGUUUUGUUGAGGUAGAUAUUUAAAUUUCGGAUAAGGUUAGAGACCGUUUGCACUCGAUCAAAGACUGCUGGUAUGGGGGGUUGAGUCCAUUAUAUUCAAAUGCGCCCAAACUGACUCUCUUCUUUCCUAUACAAACGUGUUGUGUGAGUUACAGCUGUAUUAUGAGAGCGUUACAUUGCCGAGAUCAAUGGACUGCUCGUUCGUGAUGCGGUUCUUCAUUCGUGUAUGGCGUGUGCUGAUGUGUGACAUCAGAAACAAAAACAAAACAAAAAGUAUCCACCCACCUAUGAGGUGGGGGGUAGAAUAUUUUUCCUCGAAGCACAGACGGCAUUGAAAAGGUGAUGAGGUGGGGUGGCGGUGCGGGAAACUUUUUUUUUCUUUUUCUUUUCUCGUCAUGUUACAACUCCCCGACUCCUCCCGCACACGACUGGAUCGUCAAGAGCGCAGGGAAUGUUAAAAAAAAAAUAAAAUAAAAACCCAAAAACUGGAAAAAAAUGAAAGAAAAGAAAGAAGGAAAGAAACUUUUUGUGAUGAUGUAUAUUUUAUCAUUUCUAAAUAUCUCGAAAAAUAUCGAAACUCAUCAGUUUGAAAAGCCUAACGAAAAAAAAAAAAAAAAACUUGUACCGAGAAACUUGGUCCGUCACGCCACACGGCACGAAAAAACAGAUUGAAUUAAGAGACUCUAAAAGAACAAACUUUUUUCCCGAUUUAACCCCAAUCCCACACACAUUUUUCUUUGGCUCCUUCCUUUUUGAUUGAAUAAAUAAUCAGAAUAUUUGGUUUAUUUUGAUUUUUAUUAUUCGCCGAGCUGAGCAACAGUCACGCAGAUAAUAGAAGCUUUGAAAAAAAGAAAAAAAAAUGAUUUUAUGCGCAUUAUCCAGCGCUGCGAAGAGUUGCGGAAUUAUUGAUCAAGUUAAAUAAGCUUCUAACGUACCCUACUACCCUUUAUACGUUGGCUUAAAAUGAUUUUAACAUGUUUUUCACCUUCAUUUAUUAUUGAGUUGGCGAAAGUCUUUUCUCCUACCUUUCCAGACUCGGAUGUCAGAGUCGAAAGUAAAACACUACAGACUGGGACUUGUCUUUCAAAUACAAAGUUCUUCUCCUAGCUGGUCUAUAUAUAUAAGAGGGAUGAAGAGUGGUAUACUAUAUAGAAUGUUAUCGAUUUCCAUCUAACCGAGAAGCCGAUAGAGUCAAAACGGAUAAAUAAAACAAAAGAAAGAAAGAAGAGCUCAUCUUUUGCGUGGUCUCUCUCUCUGUUUGUUUCCUUCCUCCUUUUUUUCUUUGAAAAUAAGAGGCGCAGUUGCACAUUUUGAGGCGACGUGAACGAAAUGAACAAGUUUAUGGUCGGGAUGUUUGUCGAGCGCAGCAUUGUUCUUUUUGUUUCCGGUCGAGACCUGCAGUUCACCAUCGCUCCUCCAAUUGUCUAACACGUUGGAAUUUAUUCCCACGAAAAACCAACACUAUACUUUGGGAGUUGUACGUAUAUUUUUCUUCUGGAUGUAUCGAUGUAUCGACUGAAUCUUCUUCUUCUUCUCUAAAAAAAAAAAAAAAAACUCUUGAAAACUUUUCCGCUCCGGAUGACAGUUGACUCGUGACGUGACCGGCAUCGUCAACUUUUGGUACGGCCGACAACUUUGCCGUUCUUCCGUUAUUCUUUUCCCCCUUAUAAAAAAAAAGUAGUCGGUCGUCUAUAUCUUCUUCAUCUUUUUGGCUUGAAAAACAAAACAAAGCAAACGUACUAUACGCAACUCUACGGCGUUUGGUGAUGGAUUAACCGGCCGCGGUCUCUACUAGGCUAAGAUGUCAUCUGUGUGUAGUGUAGUGUAGUGGGACCGCCGGUUUGGUACACGUGCGCGGCGUCUAGUAAGUGAACACACUUUCGUCGAUUGCUUUUCCGUUAGUCGUCGUGUAAAAGGCCUUGAUCAAAUCAACGUCAGUUGCGUCUUACAGUUUUGCCCGCACGACGGAAGCCACUCCCCCGUCAAUGUACAAAAUUUCACCCAGGCGCUGCCGACAUAUCGGUUGAGCGCAUUUGAUGUGCACGCCAAUCAUCCUUUAUCACGGCAAUUGAUAACCGUGUAAUCUUCUUAUUCUCUUUUUUUUAUUUUAUUAUUAUUUUUUUAAAGAAAAUUGAAGUUGUACCUUCGUUAAAUUUGUUCGAUGAUGCAGACGACGAUGGACCUUGCGCGUUGUGUAAUAUCAACGUAGCUCCUUGUUAGAAUCCAACGGGGUAGAGAUAACGCGGAAGAUUGGCGCUCUCCACAAAGGAUCGCAUCCACUAUACAGUAUACACACAACAUUUUGGCUACAGCUUUAGGACUCUGUACUACUACUACUUCUACUACGUAUAUCUAUCUAUUUUCAUUGAAAUGGAACUGGGAAGAAGGGAGUGAGAUUUUGGAGAUGACACGUCAAUUGAAUUUACCUCGGCGCGGGAUCGGCUCCCACUGGCGCUGACGCAGAGUCGAGACUCUCUUCUCUCUCUCUCCCUAUUUUAUACAUAUUAUUGCUUUUACAUCACUCUCUCGUCUUUCCCAUUUUCCCUUGCAUGAGCUGCUUGCUCUGCACGGUAGGAUUGUACACUAUCGAUAAGAAAUUUCCGCCGAAAAAAAAAGAAUAAAAAUCCUGAGAUAGCCCACGUUCAAAGAAAGACUCGACUGAUCGAAUCACGCCUCCUCCUCCUCUCAAAAGAAUAGAUAUUUAGAUUAUUCAUCGGAGAUAAAGGGCUGCUGGUGGGUUAUCCUGCGCCUCCAAUUGCAACUUUGGUUCAAGUCACAUUUUCUUUUCGCUCGCGGAACACUCCAGCAGGACACGCCGAUUACAUUGCGGUGGCAAUUCUUUUUCGACGUUGGAGGUGAGAAAUUCGACGGUGUGUCGUCUCGCUUCUUUUUAAAAAAUGCAGUGUAGUAACCGGUCGAAAGAGUGGGCAGCAUGCAAGUCGGCACUUUAUGGACAACAGUUCACUUUGCGUGUUUUUUGAGCCACUGCAGUUGGAUUAUUUUUUUUUUUUAUUAAAGCUGUUACAAAUUUUCGCUAUUUGAGUGAUUUUGCAUAAUACCAUACAGUGAUGCGACUUUGCAUGGAUUUUAAUUUUAACUGAGACAAAGUCUAACUUUUUUCGUACAAGCAAUUGAGAUUUUUUGAAACAUUUCGCUCCAAACUAGUACCCGCGGUAACCUUGCAACAGAAAUUAUUUUGCUUCAGAAAACAUAGGUUGUGAGCUUGCAUUAUUGGAUUAGACCAUUUCAUUUCUUUUGUCACGAGCACCUAGUAUUUGGCCAGGUACAUGAGAACUGCUGAAAUAAUCUGAAAACAUUUAGUCAAGAAUGCACUAAGAAUCAUCUAUUACAAAAUAGUUAACUUAUUAUCCGAUCUCCGUUGUUUAACUUUUUUAAUUGUUUUGAAAUUUGAAGUAACGAACGGCGUGUCAUUUCUGUCAUGUGAUGCGACUGCGAUGUGACUGUGCAGUGUGCAACAAACUUAAGAUUCAAAACUCAUUACUAGAUAUCGCCAGUGUCGCCCUUGUUGUUCUUUUACAUUUGGUUACAUCGUGAAACGAGGCAAAAUGGGCGAAACAAUUUGUUGCUAAUUUAUACUUACGUUCCUGUGAUUUCAAAUACCGAAUUUAACUUCAUAUCUUAUCUGCAAGUCAUUCCAACAAGUUGACUUAAGCACUAGUUGCUUUUCAUCUAUUAGAUCCUCAUGAUGUCAAUAACCUAAAACUCAUGAUUGAAGCCCACACAUAGAGGAAUACAAAUGAUCUUUUCUUAAUCUCGUUUCUGAAUUUUGGUGGUGUACCCGCAACAGC